CACGGCCCAGACUCCUACGGGAGGCAGCAUAGGGAAUCUUCCACAAUGGACGAAAGUCUGAUGGAGCAACGCCGCGUGAGUGAUGAAGGUUUUCGGAUCGUAAAACUCUGUUGUAAGGGAAGAACACGUACGAGAGGAAAUGCUCGUACCUUGACGGUACCUUACGAGAAAGCCACGGCUAACUACGUGCCAGCAGCCGCGGUAAUACGUAGGUGGCAAGCGUUGUCCGGAAUUAUUGGGCGUAAAGCGCGCGCAGGCGGCCUUUUAAGUCUGAUGUGAAAGCCCCCGGCUCAACCGGGGAGGGCCAUUGGAAACUGGAAGGCUUGAGUACAGAAGAGAAGAGUGGAAUUCCACGUGUAGCGGUGAAAUGCGUAGAGAUGUGGAGGAACACCAGUGGCGAAAGCGACUCUUUGGUCUGUAACUGACGCUGAGCGCGAAAGCGUGGGGAGCAAACAGGAUUAGAUACCCUGGGUAGUCCACGCCGUAAACGAUGAGUGCUAGGUGUUGGGGGGGUUUCCGCCCCUCAGUGCUGAAGCUAACGCAUUAAGCACUCCGGCCUGGGGGAGUACCGGCCGCAACGCUGAAACUCAAG
rnacentral:rRNA from 1 species